rnacentral:lncRNA from 1 species
CACAAGUUUUCUUGUAUGUGGUCUUUGAAUGCUGACUCUCCUUCCUUGAACAGCAGUAGAAAGGUAUUUUCAAGUUUCCUGGAUCAAUAACUCCCUGGACAUUUGGGACAGAGAUACACUGUCAUCCUUGGAGCUCAAGACAGCAUUAAACACUCUGCUGCCAUCUUGGCAAGCUGUCCACGCCUAAGACCUGCCGGGCAGGAGCGCCUGUUCCUGCUUCUGCAUCCCCCUCACAGCUCGUGCGUCUCCCUGCUCCAGGCCUGAGGCCACCACGAAUUAGAUAAACGAUGACAACAGGUGUCAUUAAUACCCGACAUGUGUAAUGUACCUGGCCCAUGCUAAGUGGCUUCUGUGCUGCAUCUUACUUUUCUCCACAGAGCAGGUGGAAACUGCCAGCAGCCCCUUUCUACAGCUGAGCAAAAGGCCCAGAGAAGCAGAGUCACGCACUCAAGGUCGCACAGCUGGCCUGCAAACCCAGGUCCCUCUGGGACCUUGCAGGCACCUCUCUCCACUGAAAAAGGAUCGUUUGGAGAUCGGCGCUGCCACGGUUCUGUGGUGGUUGACUUUCCCUCGCGUGAAAUGAGAAAUGCUGUUUGAAUAACAGAUGGUGAGGGAGGCCGUGAACACUCUGAUGUAGAAAUAAAAACCUUUAGAAAGAUGCAGUCUGGGGGAAUACUGGAAACUGGAGAAUGGAACGUCAGUCUAUAAAAUGCAACAUGACCAAUAAAGCUGG